AGCGAACGCUGGCGGCAGGCCUAACACAUGCAAGUCGAACGAAGUCUUCGGACUUAGUGGCGGACGGGUGAGUAACACGUGGGAACGUACCUUUUGGUUCGGAACAACUCAGGGAAACUUGAGCUAAUACCGGAUGAGCCCUUAGGGGGAAAGAUUUAUCGCCGAAAGAGCGGCCCGCGUUAGAUUAGCUAGUUGGUGAGGUAAAGGCUCACCAAGGCUACGAUCUAUAGCUGGUCUGAGAGGAUGAUCAGCCACACUGGGACUGAGACACGGCCCAGACUCCUGCGGGAGGCAGCAGUGGGGAAUCUUGCGCAAUGGGCGAAAGCCUGACGCAGCCAUGCCGCGUGAAUGAUGGAGGUCUUAGGAUUGUAAAAUUCUUUUACCAGGGACGAUAAUGACGGUACCUGGAGAAAAAGCCCCGGCUAACUUCGUGCCAGCCGCCGCAGUAAUAC
rnacentral:rRNA from 1 species